AAAUUUGUGGCUCAAAGGCGCGGUAAUUCAAUUUAUUGCGAAGGCUUUAAUGUUGGAUUUGCGGAGUUCGAGUUAUAUAUUCUACAUGAAUUAUGCUUAACUCGUCUGAAAGCCUCAAUGUGUAUUGAAAACUUUGUGGGAAUAUGGAUUAGUAAAGAUGAUUCUACGGUUAGGUUGAGCUAACAUGCCAAGCGCACUAGAAAAAAUCUUGUUCAAGGAGCGAAGACGAGUAGACAAAGAAGCGUGCUCCAGGGCAGGCGAGGUCGUUACCCUGGUUAACCUGGUUAAGCCCUAAAUUAUGUUCAUAACAUGACAAAAUCACUGUUAUCUAGAAAAGGAUACGAUUCGGAAAUUUCCCUUGAGAAAUGUUUUAAGUGCACUUGAUAUUUUCUCGUUAUAAAAGAAUUUUCUUUUGCGAUAAAAACAUGCAGAAACCAGUUAAAGUUAUAGUUUCCUCUAAAAGAUUGUACGCAAAUACUUUACUCGAGUUUAAGAAAACUUUCCUAGUAAACAUUUUAUGUUGAGUAAAGUAAGAUUUUUCGAGAUCACCCUAUAGGAUUAGUUUCACUACGUAUUGUAAUACGCAAAUAGCGCUGAAUAAAUGAAUUUCGUAA